GACGAACGCUGGCGGCGUGCUUAACACAUGCAAGUCGAACGGAAAGGCCUUUUCGGCGGUACUCGAGUGGCGAACGGGUGAGUAACACGUGGGUGAUCUGCCCUGCACUCUGGGAUAAGCCUGGGAAACUGGGUCUAAUACCGGAUAGGACCGCACUUUAGUGUGUGUGGUGGAAAGUUUUUUCGGUGUAGGAUGAGCCCGCGGCCUAUCAGCUUGUUGGUGGGGUAAUGGCCUACCAAGGCGGCGACGGGUAGCCGGACUGAGAGGUUGGUCGGCCACAUUGGGACUGAGAGACGGCCCAGACUCCUACGGGAGGCAGCAGGGGGGAAUAUUGCACAAUGGGCGCAAGCCUGAUGCAGCGACGCCGCGUGGGGGAGGACGGCCUUCGGGUUGUAAACUCCUUUCGCCAGGGACGAAGCGUUUUGUGACGGUACCUGGAGAAGAAGCACCGGCUAACUACGUG
rnacentral:rRNA from 1 species